GACGAACGCUGGCGGCGUGCUUAACACAUGCAAGUCGAACGGAAAGGCCCUGCAUUUGUGGGGUGCUCGAGUGGCGAACGGGUGAGUAACACGUGAGUAACCUGCCCUUGACUUUGGGAUAACUUCAGGAAACUGGGGCUAAUACCGGAUAGGAGCUCCUGCUGCAUGGUGGGGGUUGGAAAGUUUCGGCGGUUGGGGCUGGACUCGCGGCUUAUCAGCUUGUUGGUUGGGUAGUGGCUUACCAAGGCUUUGACGGGUAGCCGGCCUGAGAGGGUGACCGGCCACAUUGGGACUGAGAUACGGCCCAGACUCCUACGGGAGGCAGCAGUGGGGAAUAUUGCACAAUGGGCGGAAGCCUGAUGCAGCAACGCCGCGUGCGGGAUGACGGCCUUCGGGUUGUAAACCGCUUUCGCCUGUGACGAAGCGUGAGUGACGGUAAUGAGUAAAGAAGCACCGGCUAACUACGUG
rnacentral:rRNA from 1 species